AUGUUUCCCGGGAGUUUAUUUUUCACGAUUUUACUCAUUUCUCAGAUUAAAGAGAAGGUAAUCUUUGGAGUAAAGGGUCAAGAACUGGUUUAUCCUAAAAAGCUUCCUCUGAUACAGAAGCGAAAUGUUUGGCACAUCCACGAGGAUGAUAUACAGGUACGCAGCUUUGCUUUAAUAAAUAAGAUGCGUUGCUUUCAUAGGCAUGAAGAAAGCAACCUUUGUCUCCAUUAGAAGCAAACAAGGGAGGUGUCUUGAUUUUUUCCAAGGACUCCUAUUCGGUUUACAGUAUCCUCUUGCAGGGGAGGGGGACAGGUAGAGGCUGGUGGAAAAAGCAAUCCUUUGAUGGAUGAGGAAACGAAAAAGAAGAAAGUUUAGGUUUUAGAGGGGAGGGCAUUUAAAAUCUCCCAGUUUAUGUGAGGAGUUCCACUAACAGCUUUCCAGGCUGAUUUAAAGCAGCCUCAUGCAUUCCAAGCCGGUACCUACACAAUGUAAUCUCUGAGCACUUAGCCUUCCCAGGGACCUUAUGCAGGUUUAUUGACCUCACAGAUUCCACAGCAAAGCUGAGCAACUUGCACAGGAACACAAAGGUCUAGAUGGCCUGGGAGUCAGAAGAGUGUUUACUCAGGUGUUCAAAUUUAAAAACAUUUAAAAUUUUCUUUCCCCCAAUAAUAAAUAUUUAUGUAGAAAAUAUAUAACACACCUAAUGGGGAAGACGCUUCAAAAUUAGAUUAUUUUCAAUGUCCACCAUUCUAAAAGACACUAAAUGACUGUUCCUAGAUACUUAUCAGCAGGCAUCUGCAUUUUGAGCCUUAGGCUUUUAAUUUGGCCCAUGGAGCAGCCUGACGCCAAUACUCCUUGAGAAGGUAGACCUUGCCCAAUGCACUGACCUGAGUUCCCUCCACCACUACAGGAGCCAGGCUUCCAGGCUCUCACUUUGGAGGUUUCUCAGUCAAAAGGAAGAUACACUUCAACUUUCCAAAUGGUCCCAUCGAGGCUUCUUUCCCAUGGCUUGAGAUGAUUAAAAAAAAAAAAAAAAAAAAAAAAAAAAAAGCAGCUCUCCAUCUGCUACCAUUUGGAAAUAAUGCCGAACCAUUUUUCUCUAAUAAUCUCUUUGCAAGUAGAUUCUCUCUUGAUCUCCAAUUCUUUUUUUCACCUUCUCAAACCUUUUACUGGUUGGACAUUGAUAUUUAGCUAAGAGGUCAAAACCAGUUUUCUGCCACCCCUUGUGCAAAAGCCAGUGGCUCUUUUGGCAUCUAUUCUCUCAAGACUUCAUCAAGAUGAAAAGUCCUGGUAUAUACAAGAUGAGCCAGGGCUGGGGCAGGAAAUAUAAAAAACGAGUUUGGAGCAUUUGGGAGCACUAGAAAGUAAGAAUGUUCUCAAACAAGCAAAGAAACCUAAACCCAUGUUGAUGGGAAUAUGGCAAAAGAACACAGGGGCCAAGUGAAAGAUUUCCCAGUGGCCAAGCAGAAAAUUUGAGCAACAAAAUCAAUAACAUAGCUUUGGACCAUAACACAAAGUAUAGAUUAAUAUCCAUAAACCCAGACUGAUAUAAAUAAAUGACUGAACAAGUGAAUAAAAGAGGGAGAAUAGACAAAUCUCCCAUAAAGAAGAGUCAGAAGAUUGAUGUCGACUCUCGCCUCCCCAGGAGGUGGAGCAUAACACCCUACCCUCUAAGCAUGGGCUUUGCAUAGUGACUUCCUUCCAAAGAAGAGAAUAAUAUGGAAGGAGGAAAAAGUACAUAUUUAUGAUGGAGAAAUCUGACAAAUGCUGCCUCAGCAAGGUGGUCCAAGUUAACAUCAGUAAUAAGUCAUGGUGAUAGAUUGUGCUCCUGAUACGAUGCAAUGAAAAAUCGCAGUGGAUUUUUUCAUUUUCUAUCAGGUCUCUAUAACUCCAGUCUAAGCAUGAGAAAAACAUCAGGAAACUAAAUCGAGGGACAACCUACAAAAUAUCUCAUCAGUAUUUGACUAAUACUCUUCAAAACUGUCAAAGUCAUGAAAAAUAAAUGAAGUUUAAGAAAUUAUUCCAAUCUAGAAGAACUUAACGGAGAAAUGACAACCAUAUGUAAUGUGGUAUCCUAGCUGGAAUCUUAAAACAGUAAAAGGACAUUAGACAAAAUCUGUGGAAAUCCAGGAAUUCCCUGGUGGCCUAGCAGUUAAGGAUCCAGCAUUGUCACAGCUAUGGCUUGGGUUCGAACCCCGGCUCAGGAAUUUCCACAAGGCAAGGGUGAAGCCAAAAAAAAACAGAGCUAUAGAAAUCUGGAUAAAUGUAAACUUUAAUUGAUAGUAUCUAUCUUGGUUCAUUAGUUGUGACAAAUAUACCACAGUAAUAUAUAAGGGUUAACACAAGGAAACCUAAGUUACGGGGUCUAUGCAGAUUCUGUGUUAUCAUCUUUUCAACUGUCCUCCAAGUCUAAAAUGAUUCUAAAAUAAAAAUUCAUUUAAAAACUAAAAAUAAAUCAAAUUCUAAAAUAAAAAUAAUUCUAUUUAUUAAAAAUAUUGUUAAAGACUUUGGAGUUCCUGUCGUAGCGCAGAGGUUAACGAAUCUGACUAGGAACCAUGAGG
rnacentral:lncRNA from 1 species